rnacentral:tRNA from 1 species
GUGGAUAUAGUUUAAGAAAAACCCUAGAUUGUGAUUCUAGAAAUGGGGGUUAAACCCCUCCUGUCCACC